rnacentral:lncRNA from 1 species
CUUUCAGUUUUCCCUUUCAGCUUGCUGUACAGACUGCUGCCACGCUGGCUGGCUAAGUAACUCUGUGUCCCCAUGAUGGCCAUAACUUCUAGUAAAUGUGUAAUUAUAGAAUCAGCAUUUCAAAACUCAAAGCAGUUGCCCAUUGAAAUCAGAAACAAAUAUCCAUGGUAUGGUGCAUAGACUUCAAUUUUCUAAACAUUGCCAAAUGGUACACAUCCAUUUGCCAAAUUUCAUUUUUGUUGAGUACUCUUUGGGUUACUUCGAGCAAUUACUGAAGUUUGGUUAUACAACAAAAACAGAGCCUGGAAGCAACCUAGAUGCCCCUCAACUGAAGAAUGGAUGGAGAAAAUGUGGUACAUUUAAACAAUGGAGUACUAUUCAGCAGGAAAAAAAACAAUGGAAUCUUAAAAUUCACAGGCAAAUGGAUGGAACUAGAAGAAACCAUCUGGAGUGAGCUGAUGGAAGCAGAAGCAGAGAUCCACAGCCGAGCACUGAGCCAAACUCCUGGAAUCCAGUUUCAGAGAGGUAGGAGUGAUGAACAAAGGGGUCAAGACCAUGCUGGGAAAAGCCACAGAAACAGCUGACCUGAACAAGUAGGAACUCAUAGACCCCAGUCUGACAGCUGGGGAACCAACAUAGGAACCAACCAGGCACCCUGAACCUUUACUUGAGUUGUCAAUAACACCAAGAAAAAAAUCAACAUCAAAACCUAAGAAAUUUAGAUGAUGAUAUAUACUGAGCAAAGUGUAUGUGAUUUUAGCCAAACAUAAAUAGUAUGCAACAUAUGGAAAUUUAUGCUAGAAAUGGAAAAGUUGAUAUGUUGAAAUUUAUGAUAUUUAUAAUUAUGUAUUAAUACACCUUCUUUCUCAGAUGGUUUAUAUUUCAGUCUGAAUUUUUUACUGCAACUUAGACAAAGUUCAAAAAAAAACUGGCAGUUUAUAUCUUUAGCAGUCUAUUUGAUAAUCAUAAAGAAAGUCUCUUGUCCCUUACCUCAAGCAACACUUCUUACCAGCAUGUAAGCAUAGGUACUUACCAGAAUAUGGUGAGCUCAGAACAGUGUAUUCUCUUUUCUAAGAUAGAAAUAACGGUAUGAAUAAUUAGCAUGAGUGUUAUCUUCACAUUAAAAGGCAGUACACAUUGUCUUUGGAUCUUACUCAUGACUUUGGGAUUGGCAGAAAUUUUCCAAUUUUAUUCUUCCUGCCACCCCUCUUGUAUAUAGAAAAUGUAACCAUUUAUCUCUUUAUUCUUAAUUCUUGAUAUCACAUAAGGUGUUAAUCUUUUCUCCAAGGGUCAGAAUAGCUUCUGGUAAAUCAUAAAACUGAUGUUCUGGGAAGAAUUGCUGUAAUUGCUGUUCUAACAGAUUUCUUUGUGCCUUUUCAUCUAUGGAGUAAAGAAAAAGAAAUUUCCCUUUACUAAUUGUCUUUGCUUCUCCUUUGAGUGCCAAUUUCAUUUUGUAGGACUAUUUUAAAACUUUUCUUUAGAAAAUGAUUUCUGUCAUUCUUUAUAAUAUCUAAUUCUCGUGGCAUUCAUUAUACAGGAUUUCUACUGCCGCCUUUUUUUAUUUGACACAUAAAUGUUUUCUUUUCCAAUUUUUACAUAUUUGCAAUGUUUAUACUCUCUACUGCAGAAUAUAUCUACUUAUAUUUUAAUCCUCAGUCCAUUAUAAACUCACUUUAAAAUCCAAUAAAUAAAAACUAAUUUUAAACAUGAUCCAUGCAAAGAGAAAUGAUAUUGCUGGGGAAGUAGCUAUUAGAACCCACCUAACAUGACCUUGAGACACCUCGGCCAUCCUAAACCGAGAGGUAAAAGCACUCCCCCAACUCAGAACUUGAGAUGAGAUCACCAUCAUAAUCAAUUAUGUCUUUGGCUCCUUUCCAACUGCUUAGGCUCAUGGAUUGUGGGCUUAUAGUAGUCCUCUCCACUGCCAUAACAAUGUACCACAGACUGCAUGGCUUCAAAGGCCUACAUUUAUUUUUUCACAUUUCUAUAGACUGGAAGUCCAAUUUGAAGAUGCCAAUUCUGCUUUGUCAGUUGUCAAAUAGACAAAUGACAUUUCUUAUACAGCCAUUCCUCAGCACAUAUUCAUGUGUAUACACACACACACACACACACACACACACACACACACACACACAGAGAGAGAGAGAGAGAGAGAGAGAGAGAGAGAGAGAGAGAGAGAAUAGCAAUGGAAAGCUCUUAUCAAAAAGAAACUAGUCAGGUGGAAUUGCUGAAGGUGAAAAGCAUGAUAAGAAUAUUUUGCAUUAUGUUUUCUAUAAAAUAAACAAGGAAAAUAUAUAUCAACCAUAUCAGAUUAUAAGCUCACUCUUAAUGACCUCAUUUAACAUUUAAUCCAUUGUUCAUUGUAAGAUUUAUUUAUUUUUAUUUAUUUAUAUUUGCGUGUGUAUUUGUGUGUGUGUG